rnacentral:rRNA from 1 species
UGCUCCAGAAUAGCUCUUGGAAACGGGUGGUAAUGCUGGAUGCUCCAACUUGACGCAUGUCUUGUUGGGAAAGUGUUUAGUUGGCAUGGGAUGGGGUCGCGUCCUAUCAGCUUGUAGGCGGGGUAAUGGCCCACCUAGGCUUCGACGGGUAGCCGGCCUGAGAGGGCGGACGGCCACAUUGGGACUGAGAUACGGCCCAGACUCCUACGGGAGGCAGCAGAC